rnacentral:rRNA from 1 species
GGAAUUACUGGGCGUAAAGCGCACGUAGGCGGCUUUGUAAGUUAGAGGUGAAAGCCCGGGGCUUAACCCCGGAAUAGCCUUUAAGACUGCAUCGCUUGAACACGGGAGAGGUGAGUGGAAUUCCGAGUGUAGAGGUGAAAUUCGUAGAUAUUCGGAAGAACACCAGUGGCGAAGGCGGCUCACUGGACCGUUGUUGACGCUGAGGUGCGAAAGCGUGGGGAGCAAACAGG